GAAGAUUUGGAGCAUUGUGCUCUACAAUCUAAAGAUCUAGUGCAAACAGACUACAAUGAAGAUAGAGUUGAAGAGUCAAGUUGCAGCAUAGAAAGGCCAGAACUGAGUGAUGCUGCAAGUAGAGAUGGAAGCCAAGCUCCAUUUUCAGAACCUUCCAGUCCUCAUAACAAUGCAUCAGUUUGUAGCGAAUGGAUGAGUGAUCCUGUUAACGUGGGCCCAUCAAAUUUAAAGAUUCCCAGGUCUCCUAAUCAGCAACAUUCAACUCUAAAUGAUGCUAAUUUUGUGGAAAAUUACUUUAAGCAUUCGAGGUUGCAUUUCAUUGGCACCUGGAGAAACCGGUAUCGUAAACGAUUUCCUAGUUCCCCUGGUGGGUUUAGAUGCACAAGUUCAGGACCUAGUUCUUCAGCAACAGCAAAUAAGACAAUGAUUAUUCAUGUGGAUAUGGAUUGCUUUUUUGUGUCUGUGGUCAUUAGGAAUCGCCCCGAGUUGAAGGAUAAACCUGU
rnacentral:misc_RNA from 1 species